UCGCCCGGGAGCGCGGGGACAGCUUUCCCUCCAGCCGCUCGCCCCGCUGCUGUCCCCACAACCUGUGGCCGUGGUCCCCGUGGGUGGAGAGAGUUGCCUCGGGGGCGCCCCGCGGGGCGCGCGGAAAGCGGCGGGGGGGGAUCCGAGCUCCUCCAGAGCUAUCCCGUCCCUUCCCUCCCUGGCCGGCGCAUGGUCCUGCUCUGACCGGGGCUCUCCCGCACUCCACUUCCCCGCGGCGCGCGCUGCCCUUUUGUCUUUUCUUCCCCCUCCCCGCCUUUCAAAUAGUUUUAAAAUUAGUUACAUCCGCGAUGCAGGGGCUUGGGGACCCCGGCGCCGGGAGCUGCCGCUCUUGCGUCUUUUUCCCAGGAAUAACUUCGCGCUCGGUGCACCACUCAUCUAGGACAGACUGUAGGAGCCCCAGAGCCCAGCGUCUCUGCGCGUUGAUGGAGUAGGAUAAAACCUGAAGCUUGGAGGAGGGGCGGGGAUUGACAGAACCCCAGGGUAGAAUCCUCCAUGCACAGGUUUUUGCUGGAGUUCGGGGAGAGUGGGUUUUGAACUCAAGACUCGGCAGUCCAGGCUCCCUAACUGCAUCCACCCCCCCCAACUCCCCAUCUCCAAGUGCAAAACCAGAGCCUCAGACUUUGUAAAAUAACCACCGAGCACUUACUAUGUGCCAGACACCUUACAUGUGUCAUUAAUUAGCAGGUUUAACCUUCACAGGCGGCCUAUGAAGUAGGGAUGAGUAUUUCCCCCAUUUUUAAUUAAAAAAAUUUUUUUUGAGAGGGAGUCUUCCUCAAUCACCCAGGCCAGAGUACAGUGGCGCAAUCUCGGUUCACUGCAACCUCCGCCUCCCGGGUUCAAGCAAUUCUCGUGCCCCAGCCUCCCGAGUAGCUGGGAUUACAGGCACGCGCCAGCCACCACAGCCAGCUAAUUUUUGUAUUUUUAGCAGAGAGGGGAUUUCACCAUGUUGGCCAUGCUGGUCUUGGACUCCUGGCCUCAAGUGAUCCGCCGACCUCGGCCUCCAAAGUGCAGGGAUUACAGGCGUGAGCUACUGGGCCCUGCCUCCUCCGUUUUUAAGAUUGGGAAAGUUUAGUUCCGGAGAGGCCGGGUAGCUUGCCUGGGAUCGCACAGCUGAUUAAGUGGGAGUACUGGGCUUUGAACCGGGACGAUCCCAGCUGGUGUUCUAAACCCCUAUUCUAUGCUGCAUUUUUCUUUUGCUUUUUUUCUGUGAGAGGGAGGAAGGGGCCACUUCCCUACUCUCCUAGGAAGUGAGAAAAGUGGCCAGGGGGUGGAGGGGGUGGGACGGGGCAGAGCCUUGGAUGGAAGUUAGGAGACUCUAAAGGCUUUAAUCUCCAUGCCUCCUGCUGGGGCCUCAUUUACUCCCCUUCUCUGCUCUAGGAAGUCUUUUAAUCCUGGUUCAGGAAGGGCUGGUGUGGGGGUGGCUCUUUCAAAGACCCUAGAACCAGGCUCUGUAGCUCCCAGUCUUUGGGAGAAAGAGGGAGACUCUGGGAUCCUCUGGGGCUCCCCAUGGCUUAGGGGUGCAGCUGAGGCUGUGUGAGAUCAGAGUUCCAACUCAGGGAGGAGGCAGCCCUAGACUAGAGCCCUUCUGUCUGUGAAAGGAGAUGUACUGGGGGCAGGGGAGUGUGGGAGAGGGGGUUGUGCAGAAGCAUUGAAAACCAUUUGGCCAAAGGACCCUUCUAGAAAGGCCUGUAAGAAUAAGGCACGAUUGGCUUUCUUUCCCAUCCCUUCUUCUCUCACAGUUUCGAGGGUGGGGAGUGGGGGAAGAAUUUGUUCAGUUAGAAGCUGGCAGUUUCUGAAUUAAGCAUGUAGACAACUCUGGUGUCUCUGAGCAAUGUCAAAUUCCAGGGAACUCCUGACUUCUCCUUCUGAGCCACUCCCUGCUCCUCUGCUUGGAAGAGAAACAGGAAAUACAAACCAAUUUUUAUAUUAAUGGGAAAGAAAAUAUACCUCUCCCUCCCACGCCCCUGCCCUAGAUGGUGUGUUUCAUUUUAGAACAGAUCUAGAUUGUGUUUGAGUUAACUGUGGUUUUAAAUUGUCCACGUGUGUAGGGUCGGAGGAAGCUGGAAUAAUGGAAAUUGAUUGGAGCCAACCAUUCUUAUUAUUCAAGAAACAGGAAAAAAAAGAUUUCUCUACUUUCACAUUAUCUCCUUGACACUUUACAUUUGCUGACUUCAUCACAUUUUUCUUUUUGUAUCUGAUGUGUCAGUUCUGAGAUGAAUUGGUUCUGACUUGGACAUGUGUCUUGGACCUAUCAUGCUACAUGUCCUGACCUCAGUUUCCCCACCUGUGAAACAAGGAGUGGGGAAUCCGGGCUUCCUUUCUGCCUGGGCCUUUUGUGUGUCCCCAAGCUGGUGCCAGAAACAGACGGAUUGUGUAACCUGACCAGCCAUACGUUGUGAGCCACAGGAGUCCUCUCUCAUCUUGGCCUGUCAGGAAUGGCCCCUAAACAUCCCAAGGCAUUUUCGUUUCCAAAACUAACCUGGGGCUUAGAGCUUUAGGAACUGCUAAUUACCAAGGCUUUCCAUGGCUGCAAGGCUGGCAGCCUCAGGUUGUGAUUCUCUUCUGUCUUCCCACUCUCUCUUCUCAGCCUUUAUAUUUGCUAAGGGAUUUUCUCUGCUGUCUCCUGGCUUGGAAGAAUGCACAGUAAUCCCUCCCUGCUUUUAUUUCCAUGUGGUUAGAGGCAGGCCUUAAAGGACCACCCUGGUCUCCAUGUGUCCCUUGUGUGAAGGUCCCAUCAGCCCAUGGAAACCGUGGAAAGUAACCCCCGUGAUAGGGGUCAUGUGUGGCUUCUGUCCUCAAGGAGAGGACAGUAUAGUGGAGGAUGGCCAAAUGGGUGUUUAAAAAAAAACAAUCCAAGUGCAAGGCUCUGGAGCCAGACUGCUUGAGGUUAAGUCCUUGGACUUGUGACCUUGGGCAAACACCUUAACCUGUUUGAGCCUUAUUUGUAAAAAGAGGGAUGGUAAUAGGUCCUAUUUUAUAGGUUUUUAAAGAAGAUAAGUGAAUUAUAGAAAUUGAUGUAAAGCACUUAGAAGAGUGUCUGGCAGUAAGGUAUAUAAAUAUUGGUUAUUAUUGUUCUUAUAGGAAAAUUAAAUAAUACAGAUAAUUAGGGUUAUGGGACUUCAGCAUCCAGAGAGCAGGGGUGAUCAGAGAGGGCUUCCUGGAGGAAGUGAGGUCUGAGUUAAGUCAGCACUGAGAGGAGGAUGGGGGCUCUGAGUGAGUUUCCUUUUAACACCCUAAACUCUGGCCACAGGAACCAGUGAUUUUGUUUGGUUCCAGGCUGAGGGCUUUGUGGUUCCUCGAGAAUCUCCCCAUCUUUCCCCAUCUCCUUCAGGAACUGGGUGGCACUCCCUCCCCCAUCUCCAGGGAGUCCUCUGAGUUUGGUGUUUUGCAGGUGUUUAUUAAAGAAUCAUGAAAAGGCAAGGACAGCCCUUUCAUAGAGAUGCUGGAUCAGUCUUGGGGGAAACAGUGCCCGGGAUUUUGACUCGGAAUCUUGGCUCGAAUCAUUUCGAGGCCCUGGCUAUAUGUGGGGUGCUCCCCAUGUGCUUUGGGCAACGUUAGUCAUGAUGAAAACAAUGACAGUCAUUGCUGUGCAGGAACUGACUUUGAUUCAUCACUUGCCAUUCUAAGCACUUUGCAUGUGUCAACUCAUUUAAUUUUCUCUAUGAAGGGGAUGCUGUUUUUAUCCCCAUUGAGAGGUGAGGAAACUGAGGCAAAGUGAAUCUAAGUGAGCUGCCCUGGGUCAGAUGGACAGCAUUGCCAGGAUUUGAUCCUAGGCUGCCUGACCCCAGAACUCAUGUCCCCAGCCACUUCAUAGACUGCCUUUGGCUGAUCCAAGAAGGGCUUGGCACAUGAUUUAUUAAGGUGGCAGAACUGGGAUUUGAACCUGGGUCUGUGUGGUGUUUCACCUCUGCCUGCGCUUCCUCCUGUUACUUCCCUUCUGUGACUCCCAUUCUUUUCUCCACAGAAUGGGCAGAACUGUGGACGGAUAGAAAUGGCAGGCUGCCGAGUUCUUGCUCUGGGCUCCGGGUCUGUUCAUGGCAUGAGGGUUGAAUGAGGCUCUGGAGUCACGCUGCUGGUGUUCAAAUCCAGGCUUCCUCCACUUGGACUGUAGGUGACCUUGGGCUGAUCACCGACUUGCUCUGUGCCUCAGUUUCCCCAUCUGUCCAACGGGCACAGUGUAGCACCUGCGUCACAGGGAUGUGGUGAAGCUUGGAUGAGCUUGAGGUCAAAGCUGUUAUAACAGUGCCAGGCGCACUGGGUGUUUGGAAUGCUGUGUGGGUAUUUUGGGGGAUAUGCAGCUCUUUGGAGCUCAAAGGCCCCCCACUCCCCUAGAGGAGGCUGAGUAGGCCUUGGGCCCACCUGCCAAGGGGAGGCACCUCAGGGGCAGGUGCCAGUAACUCCCAUGAUGGGUGUGUCAGCUGGGCAGUGGUCGAAAGAGAAGAGAAGGCCUGAGUGGAUGGGCAGAGAGGCCUGUGGGUGGGAGUCGGUCAGCAGCUCCUCGAAGGUCUCCCCGUGGCUGAGGACAGAGAGCUAUAGAGACACAGAGGGUCUGCCUGGAACCGACCGGGAUGGGGGUCUCUGAGGAACAGGGAUUGUGGGCAGAAAGCUCCCAGAAUGCUUUCUGUGGUUCUGCUUUUUGGAGGGAGGAGACCAAAGUUUUUCUUCUCAUUGGAGCUCCACUUGCCAAACAAGAAACUGUGGUUUUUUGUUGUCACUAUUUUUUUUCUGUUUUAAAAGAUUCUCUACUCCUAGUCUCACACUAGGGAGAAAUGCCACGGGUGGUUGGGGUGAGGGCAGGUCUUUGAUUCCACAGUCACUGAGGCAGAGGGACCUCCCCAGUGACUUGGGGGGAUUUUCACGUGGUCCUCAUAUGAAAAGUAGGGUGCUGAGAGGUAUAUGUAACACAGUUCUUUUGGAAAAUAAACAAUAACCAUAAUAUACACAUGUGUGUUAUAUGUAUAAGGUGACAGUAGGUUGGAAAAAAGGAUGGAAGGAUAUGUAUCUUAUGCAGAAAGGCAACCAGGAAGAUAAGGAAGUAAAAUCCUGUUUAUAAUACCCUUUUCAUAUAAAAUUAUGCAUAUGUAUGUGAAUGUAUUUUUUAAGAAGCCGACAGGAAGAAUUGUAUUUUCAACAUGGUUAUUAGAUUAAUGCAAUAGUAAUAGUGGUAACAAUUUGCUAAUAUUUAUAUACUUGCAAGCCCUGUUUAUAAGUUCCUUAAGCAUUAACUCAAAAGUUGCAGGUAUUCUUAUGCUUCCUAUUUUACAAAUGAAACAAAGACACAGAGAGGCCAAGUCAGUUUCCCAAGGUCACACAGCCUGACAGAACUGGCAUUUGGACCCAGGUAAUGAGGCUGCAUGGCCCACAUUCUUCACCACUAUCCUGAAUUGCGCCAACAUGAGGCUGUGUUCAUGAGCAAAAUUACUGCCCCUGUGAGACCUCCGGGCUGCCCAGGUGGGCAAGAAUUAAGUCACAAAGUCCACCUUAUUUCAGUUUUCAGAUGCCGGAGAGCCUGGAGCAGGCCAUCUUGUGUUGGGCUCAUCAUCAUCAGGAAGUCAGUGAAAAUCUUUUGAUGAUAAAAACCUGAGUGUCAGCAGGAUUUAGAUGUGUUACAUUUUUUUUAAUGUAUGGCAGACAGAGAGCUCUGUACAGGUAAAACCGUGAAGUAUGAGACUGCUUUUCUCUGCGUGCAGGUAUUUAUGGAGCAUCUGCUGUAUAUCCUGGGCAGUGUUCUGGGCCAUGAGAAUGAAGUCAUCAACAGGUCCUUGUCCUUAUAAGAAGGACAACCCCAUGGGGAUUCUACAACUCAUUCUUCAGGCAAGCCUUCUGGAAGCCUACCUACUUUUAUUCUGGUGUUUGCCCUGGUAGCAAUUUAACUGUCACUUUAAGAAGACGUGAAUGGGGUUGGUGUCUCUGGCUUUCGAGACUUCAGGGCACCCCUUUCUUGGAGAGAAAGAUACUCCUUUAUCAGGCCAGAGAGCUGAAGACCUGUUGGGCUUGGGGCCACUCCCUUUGAUAAAGAAACCCACAUCCUAUUUGCUUCACAGCCACUCCCCCUUAAAGGUUUUGCAAGAGUUAAGUGUUUGAAGCAGAUCAUGCUUGGCUGCAGGAGAACCUGACCUGUCAGAUUUUUGAGGCUUCUUUCCUUUUUUUCCAACAGACGCAGGCAUGCUGGCUAGAAUACUGGAGGGAGGUGGGUGAUAGGGUGGGCUGCCCCUCAAACCGGUGUGCUGUGUCCCACAGCAUCAUUCCCCAGACAUGGGGCCAGGUCAGAGCUGAUUCCUGCCCUGCGUUUCGGAGAUCUUGAACAGAAGCCAGGUGGGUCAUUCGGUCUGAAUCUCCUUGUUUUGCAGGUGACAUGAGUUGCGGCCCCAGAGGGGAGGUGAGCAUCAGUUAAGGGCAGUAGCCACUCAGUUUGUUAGAGUUCCCUCCCCAGAUACCUGGGAAAAGAGCUUGGUGGCCCACAUCCUUUUCUGGGGAUUUGUGUUUUAGCCAGGAUCAACAAUCCCUCUUUUUUUUUUUUUUUUUUUUUUUAAGAUGGAGUCUUGUACUGUCGCCCAGUCUGGAGUGCAGUGGCGUGAUCUUGGCUCACUUCAACAACCUCUGCCUCCCGGGUUCAAGCAAUUCUCUUGCCUCAUCCUCCCUAGUGGCUGGGACUACAGGCACGUGCCAACACGCCCGGCUAAUUUUUGUAUUUUUUAGUAGAGACAGGGUUUCACCAUGUUGACCAGGCUGGUAUUGAACUCCUGACCCCAAGUGUUCUGCCCGCCUUGGCCUCCCAAAGUGCUGGGAUUAUAGGCGUGAGCCACGGUGCCUGGCCAAAAGUCCCUCUUGAAGAGGUUUCACAGGGGUCAUUUCUGGCCCUAGCAGUUGGUCUGGAGCAAAUCCCACUAGUCUCUCAGCCUUCAGCACUAUCGACAUAUGGGGCUGGAUCAUUCUUUGCUGUGGGGGGGCUGUCCUGUGCAUUGUAAGAUGUUUAGCAGCAUCGCUGGCCUCUACCUGCCAGAUGCCAGUAGGACCCCUCUUCCCCAGUUGUGACAACCACAGAUGUCUCCAGAUAUUCCGGAUAUCCACUAGAGGUGGUUGGGUGUGAAGAAUAGCCCCCAGUUGAGAACCACUGGGCUAAAAGCUCCUUUGACUACCACCUGUGCUCUCAGAUUGUGUGGGGGCAUUAGCAUGCCUGUGUAGAAAUACGUGAGAUUGAUGUGUUUAUGUAAGUAGCAUAAUACGGUUUGCCCUUUUCACCCAGCAGAGUGUCUGGGAGGCUCCCUCUCUUGCGGUUCAUGGUUUAGAGCACAGACUCUCGAGCCACCUGGCCUGGGUUCAGAUCCCAGCUCUUCCCCUGUGUGACCUUGGAGAUGUUGCUUUGACUCUCUGAGCCCCGGUUUCCCCAUCUGCAAAAUGGGGAGGACCCCAGCACUCCUAGGGUUACUCUAGGGAGCGAGUACAGUGACUGUGUGUGGGCUCACCCCUCCUCCCGGAGGAAGUCCCAAGGAAGAAGCAGAGCCCUCCAGCCUCCCAGCCGUGUGUGGAUUUUUAAGCUUAUUUUUAUUUUCUUGGCUCCUUGAGGACCAGAAGGGAAUCUGUCUGCUCUUCUUUUGUCUUGUGGUCGGACACUCAAUCUGUGUUUACCCGCCUGGUUCCUUCCCCCGGGUGGAACUGACAGACGAUCCCUUGAUUCUGGGCCAGGGGAGGUGAGGCUAUUUCAGGCUGGCCGGACUGGGGCCGCUGAAAACUGGUGCAGGCAGGUGGCCAUCGGCCGUCAGGACCCAGGGUCUUGUGCUUCCCCCCUUGCUGGGAGGGUGGGUGGCUUCUGUGCAUCUCUCAGGAGGAGCGAGGCCAGGGUCAGGGUGUGGGCAGUUGAUGCUUUCAUCCACUAAUCGACUUACUCAUUCAAUAAAUGGCCAUUCAGCACCCACUGUAUGCCAGGCACUGUGCUAGGUGCUGGCAUGUGGCUGGAACAAGACAGAUAAGAUCUCUGCCCUCAGGGAAUCUGCAGACAUCGCAAAAAGAAAUCCCUUGAGAAAAGGACCAGAGUUGUCAUAAUAAGGACACCCACUGAGGCCUUGCUGUGUUGCAGCUAACACACUGGACAUUUUACUUAUUUAUUGCUUAUUGUCUGCCUCCCUCACUGGAAUGUCACAGGCAUGCCAAGAGGAUAGAGAUUUUGAUCUCCAGCACCAACAACAAUGCCUGCCACAUAGUAGAUGCUCAUUAAAUAUUUUUUGAAUGAAAAAAUUGCUUCUAUAUGUGCCUGUGUUUUAUUACAUGAUGUGAUUGUUUUGAAUUAUAUAACUGCUAUGCAUUUUUGUGCAGACUUCUGGGGACUAAGAUGGUCUGGUGUCUUUUGACUGUGUGGGUAUGUGUGAGCUGGGGGAUUUGGCACAGGAGAAUUUUUUAGUGUGGCAUUGUGCUCAAGUGCCAGGGGCCUAGCCAGAUUGUCUGGGUCUGAAUCUUAUCUCUGCACCUUAGCAGCUGUGUGACCCUGGGCAAGAAGCUUUCCCUCUCUGAACCUUGGUUUCCUCAUCUAUAAAAUAUGUUGAGACACUUGGCUCACUGCCUGGCACCUGAGCAGGCCCCAGUAAUUAGUCGAGGUUAUUUUUUAACAUUCUGUUUUAGAAUCUUAGUAUUUCCCUACGUUUUGCACAGGAACAGUUACAGCAUCUCAUCUUGAACACACUGCCUGAGAUCCUUCCUGGGACUUGAAAUAAGUGACUGACUUUAUUUUGACCAAGUGGUCCCUUGCCCUGGACAUUGGUCUGUGCACUCUGAAGGCAGUUGGGAGUAACUGGGAUAGCUGUAAGUUGGAGCUAGAAGAUGCUGUUCACUCUCUUCUCCAAGCAACCCAUCAGAAGAUUGAAAAAACAGAUUGGUGUCUCAAAAAUACAUGAUGGCACCUCCCGUUCCCCUGCUGUGAAAUCCCUCCAUGAACCUGAAAGGGCACAGAACACACUGCGCACCACUUUCUGGGUGAGGCUGUUACACAUCCUGUUUCAUUUACAGCCUUGCAGUAUUGCAGAUGAGGAAACUGAGGCCCAGAGAGGGUGAGGUCACUUGCCUGGGAUCACACAGAGAUGGCAUAUUAGUUAUCUGUUGCUGCCAAACAAGUUACCACACAUUUAGUGGCUUAAAAUAAUGCCUGUUAAUUACCUCGAAGUUUCUGUGGGCCAGAAGUCUGGGUGCAAUGUAACUGGGUUUUCUACUCAAGGUCUCAUGAGGCUGCCAUCAGGGUGUUGACCCGGGCUGUGAUCUCAUCUGAUGCUUGGAUCAAGGAGGGGGUGGGGCACGGGAGGGAUCUGCAUGGGGUUGUUGGCAGAAUUUAGUUCCGUGCUUUGUGGAGCCGGGGUCGCCAUUUUUUGCAGGGUAUUGGCUGGUGAUCACCCUCACUUCCUAGAGGUGCCCUUGAGUCUUAGGGGUGUGGUCCUGCCACAACAUAGCCACAUCACGGCCAGCAGGUGAAUCACUUGUUUUGAAUCUCUUCCUUUAGGAAGGUCCUAGAAGUGUACUUGUACUCUUCUCUGUGCUUUAUCCCCCACAGAUGUCUUUUAAGGCUUUACCUGAUUAGGUCAGGCCCACUCAGUCAGCUGAUUUUGGACUCUAAUUAUAUCUGUAAAAUCCCUUCGCCUCUGUCAUUUACCAGUCACAAUGACAGUCCCACUUACAUGAAAUGGGAAAGGAUCCUCCAGGGCACAGACACAGGGGGCAGUAAUCCUGGGGCCAUCUCGGGGUUCCGCCCACCAACAGUGGUCAGUGGUGGGUUUGAACUCAGGAUUAUUCUACUCCAAAGCCCAUAUUCGUGACCACUGUGCUUUACUUUAUUUACUCCCUCUCUGGCCCUGCCCAGAGUGACCCCUGAGUAAGGUGAACUGAUUGGCUGUUGGCCUCAUUCUGGCUCAUUCGGAGUGAGACGGGGCAGGUGGGCUAUAUUAUGAGAUGUGGUUUCCUCUCUGGUAAGACCUGGUCUCUCCAACACAGUACACAGACCCCCAGCAUAUCUCUCUCUCUUUUUUUUUCCUUUUUUUCUUUUUUUUUGAGACAGAGUCUCACUCUGUUGCCAAGGCUGGAGUGCAAUGGUGCAAUCUUGGCUCACUGCAACCUCCACCUCCCAGGUUCAAGCGAUUCUCCUGCCUCAGCCUCCCGAGUAGCUGGGAUUACAGGCGUGUGCCAACAUGUCUGGCUGAUUUUUGUAAUUUUAGUAGAGACAGGGUUUCGCCACAUUGGCCAGGCUGGUCUCAAACCCCUGACCUCAGGUGAUUUGCCCACUCGACUGACUCCCAAAGUGCUGAGAUUACAGGCAUGAGCCACUGUGCCCGGCCGCCCCAGCAUCUCUUGAAAUGAUUUGCCAACUGGGUUGUUGAGGUUGAAGCCAGAGCAUCCACCCCAGCCUGGUACCCCCUUUACCUAGGAGUGUAGGCUUAGACCUGGCCAUGGGACAGAUGCCUGACUGCCUUCUCCCAGGGCACAUUUACGCCAGAUGUUGUCUGCACUGUUUACUUUGAGGGUGGGGUGGGGAGUGAGGAAGCCCAUCUGAUUGCAUUGAUCUCCACAUAUUAGGGCUUUUCCAGAUAAACUCAUUGUUUAGUGAUUUCCAAUUUAAUUCUAUUGUGCUCAGAGAAUAUAUUCUGUGGGUUUUCAAUCCUUUGAAAUUGAUUGAGAUUUGGUUUAUGACCCAGCAGAUAGUCUACCUUAGGGACCAUUUCAUGUACAUUUGAAAAGAAUGUGUCUUCUGCUGUCGCUGGGUGCAGUGUUCUACAAAUGUCAUUUGGAUCAAGGUGGUUGGUAGUGUUGUUCAGAUCUGUAUAUCCUUACUGAUGCUUGGUCUCCUUGUUCUGGUAGUUAUUGAGAGAAGGCUCUGGAAGUCUCCAUCUGUGACUGUAGAUUUAUGUUUUUCUCCUUUGAGUUCUGUCAGUUAUUACUUUUUGCAUUUUAAAGUUCUCUUGCUGGAAAUAUGUGUUUAUGAUUAUGUCUUCCUGGUGAAUUGACCCUUUUAUCAUUAUGAAAUACUCCUUUUUAUCUCUGAUAAUGCUCCUUGUCUUGAAGCCUGUUUUGUCUGAUAUUGCUAUAGCCAUGUCACCUUUCUUCUGCUUACUGUUUUCCAUUUUUUUCCUUUCUGCCUCUGUGUCUUUAUAUUCCAAGUGCAUCUCCUACAGGCAUCAUAUAGUUGGGUCUUGCUUUUCUAAAUCCAUUCUGACAGUCUCAACCUUUUAAUUAGACUGUUUAGCUUAUGUAUAUUUAAUGUAAUUACUGACAGGGUUGGGUUUAGCUCCAACACCCUGCCAUUUCAUUCUGGUUUGUUUGCUGGGGACAUUGACAGCACAAGGAGUCCUCUUCCUCCCCCAUCCUCACUCUGCUGGAGGUGGAACAUGGAGGUUAAUCGAGUCCCAGCUCCUUAUGAUGGCUUAGAAGGUAUUAUGUGAUCCAGCUUUAGCUCACUGUGCAGACCUCAUCUCCCCGCCUUGUUCAUUCUGUCCUGGCCCCACCACAUUUCUUUCUAUUUUUGCACUGUAUUCAGCUGGUUCCAGCCUCUAAGCCUUUUCCUUUGCUGUUCCUAUUACCUGGAGCUCUUGGAACCCUGAUUUGUGCCAAGGACCCCCCUUUCUCUUUCAGCUCUCAGCUCAAGUGCCGCUUCCUCAGAGAACCUUCUAGUCCCUUUCUCUACACCACUGCACUGAUUUUUUUUUUGACCUGUCACUACCUGGAAUUAUCUUGUUGAUUUAUUUGUUUAGUAUCUGUCUCUCCCGUUAGAAUAUAAGUCGCAUGAGGUCACAGCCCUUGUCUGCUGUCUUCACGGCCAAGUCCCUGGUGAUUAGCACUUAAUGGGGACUCUGUUAGCAUUUGUGGAAGAAAUGAAUGCAUGAGCAAAAGGGGCUGAAUGGGGCCCACUCUGUGGCAGAGGCCUUCCUGGCCAUCGUGAACCCCUGUGUUGGGGCAGUUGCAGCCUGGGCUCCUUGGCCUCCUGCCCUUACCACACUGGGGAGGGCAGAGGGAUUGGAAAGUUUUAUUUGCCACGUCAGGGAGCUCUGGGUGGUAUCAGCCAGUGGCCCACCAGGCUGUUGAUUGGGUGGUUUUAAAGAUUUAUUUCCCCUUGAACACAAAGGUAGUAAAUACAGUGGAGGUGUGAGUAUCAAAAGCACAUUCCCUUAUAUCUGUUCAGCUACAGGCGCUCUUAUGGAACCCAGUAUGGUAAAAUGAUAUUUUGUGUAUAUACCUGGCUGCAUAUAUUAUUCAUUUCUACAUACAUAUGGCAGUCUAGGCACAAAACCAAACGUUGUAUUUCUGGGCAAUUUAAUAUGUUUUUUUCAGAGUUAACUUUUUGGUAACUUUUUAUUUGAUCACUCCCUUUCUCCCUUUCCUUUCUUCUCCCCUCUCCCCAUCAUGCACACACACGUUAUUAUUAUUUUGAUCUAUUUGAGAGUAAUUGCAGACAGGAUGCCCCUACAAACUUUGGCAUGCAUCACUUAGGAAGACAGACAUUCUCUUGUGUAACCACAGUGCCUUGAACAAAAUCAGGCAAGUCAAUGUUUAUACUAAAUGAUACAAUGCACAGUCAGAUUUCACCUAUUUCUCCCCAAGUGUUUCCUGUACCAAUCUCCUCGCCCAUCCCCACCCCCAGCCCAGGAUCUAGUCCUGGAUCAUGCAUUGUAUUUGGCGGUCCAGCUCUGGUGAUUUUGAUUGUCCUCGGAAGAAAGUCUCCACUGAGAUGUGCUCAUGCUUGUCCCAGAGCCAAGCUCUGUGACCAGCUCUGUGACCUUGGGAAGCUGAUUCUUAGACCUCAGUUUCUUCAGCUAUAAAAUGGGGAAAUCUCUGUCCCUGCCUCAUAGACUUGUUCCCUUGUUCCAACACAUUGUAUUAAGCACCUACUGUGUGCCCGGCCCAGAUGCUGGGAUACAGCAGGAUGCAGGGCAGGCCGACAUCUGGGCCCUUGGGGGUGGAGUAGAGUAGGUGAGUGAGUGCUGGGUGCAGAGCCGGCUCCCUAGGACGCCCACCACGUAUGGCUGUGUUUGCAGUUACUGCACUCAUUUUAGAAAAUUUGGGAAAUAAAGAUGUGUAUACAGAUCUCACCCUUCGAAAUAGCUGUUUCACCUUUGGGUGUAUUUCCUCUUUGUUCCUUGCAUUUGGUUUGAGCCUGCUACAUGACAGCAGAUACUGCUUGUGCGUACUUCCUCGUGUCACUGCUAAAUGCUCUCCAUCAGCAAGCCUUCGAUGGCUUCGUAAUGAAAUGUGGGGGCUGGAUCAUGGCCACUGUCCAGUUCAAAUCCUGACUGCCUACCUGCUGUGUGGUCAGUGGCCCAGCUACUCCAUCUGUGUGUGCCUCAGUUUCCUCAUCUUGUAAAAUAGUGGCCUCUUCUUAGAUUGAGGGGGGAAUUAGGUGAAUUAGAACCUGCAAAGCUAUCACAACAAUGCGAGGUACAUAGUAAGCAUUCCAUAUAUAUUAGCUAUACUUGUAAGAAUUAUUAUACUAAUAUAUAAUUUAAUAAUAGCAUUCUAGUAAAAUUAUUAUUAUUUACCCAUUCCUCUUAUAUUAUUUACCCGUUCCUCUUAUAUUGGGGCAUUUAGGUAGUUUUCAGUUUUUCACAAUGACAGUCCAUCUGCAUCUUUGUUGAUUGCUACUGGUUCUUUUGUCAAUUUAGUAACUGAGGGCUGAAGAAACCUGGGUUUAGGACCCUUUGGUCCUUAUUAGCCCAUAUAAAUUAUUGGCACUAGAAUCCUGGAAAUGGGCUGUUGGAGCUGGAAGACACCGAGACAUCAUCUCAUCCACUCAUCUCGCUUUUCAGGAAGGGGAAAUUGAGGCACAGAGCUGUUCAGUCACUUGGCCUGGGGUUCCCAAGUGGGUUUGUGGUUGAGAUGGAACUGAAACCCAGGUUUUCUGACUCCUAUCCCGUGAUAGUCUGCUUUUGUCCAACAGCUAAGACUCCUUGGAGGACAGAGAGGGAGGUUUAAGUUGUAUCCAAAUGAGCUGGAUGAAUCUUUUGUCCUAGGGGAUUCCCUUGUCUCUGGGAAACUUCACUUUCAGAUUCUUUGACUUCAGUGAUCGGUAGUGUGAGAGGUGUGUGUGUGUAUCCAGGUCUGGUCAGUAGUGUGCAUGCACACGUGUGUGUGUGUGUAUUCAGGUCUGGUCAGUAGUGUGCAUGCACACGUGUGUGUGUGUGUGUGUGUGUCCGACUCUGGUCAGAAGUCAUUGAUCGCACCCUUGCUGUGGGCUGGGCCUUGUACAAGCUACUGAGGCCACAGAUGUGAUGAAAGCAGGGCCCUUCCUUUUACUUAUGAUCAGAACCACUGGUUCCAAACCCAGGGGUCCUAAGGCCAGGUUAGGCCCAUACGUGGGUUUUGUCAGCCUGCACAGGAUUGUUUUAAAAUUUUUUGUUUAGGCUGGCUACGGUGGCUCAGGCCUGUAAUCCCAGCACUUUGGGAGGCCGAGGUGGGUGGAUCACCUGAGGUCAGGAGUUCGUGACCAGCCUGGCAAACAUGGUGAAACCCCAUGUUUAAUAAAAAAAUAAAAAUUGUUAUUUACUUGCCAACAAUGAAAAAUGAAGACAUUUCAUACAAAAAUCUAUUAUUUCUCUCUUCUUAGUAAUCAGAAGAUGUGUCACUUGCUCUUCUGCAGGCAGCGUUUGGUUUGGCUGGACCUGAAGAGCAGCUGCCCCUUCUGCAGGGCACAGGGCUUCAGUCUUCAUUUAGCCACAGUCUCCACCCCUCCAUAACAUGUUCCUAACACUGAGACCAAACAUUGGUUGCCAUUUAUUAUGGCACUUGCCCUGCUGGUUUUUAAUUAUUUUUAUUUAUUUAUUUAUUUAUUUAUUUUGAGGAGUCUGGCUCUUGUCGCCCAGGCUGGAGUGCAGUGGUGCGAUCUUGGCUCACUGCCGCCUCUGCCUCCCGGGUUCAAGUGAUUCUCCUACCUCAGCCUCCCAAGUAGCUGGUACUACAGGUGCGCACCACCAUGCCUGGCUAAUUUUUGUAUUUUUAAUAGAGGUGGGGUUUUGCUAUGUUGGCCAGGCUGGUCUCAAACUCUUGACCUGAGAUGAUCCACCUGCUUCGGCCUCCCAAAGUGCUGGGAUUACAAGAGUGAGCCACCGUGCCCUGCCUUUUUUUUUUUUUUUUUUUAAAUUGAGGUGAGAUCUUGCCUUGCUGCCCAGGCUGGAGUGCAGUGGUGUGUUCAUAGCUCACUGCAGCCCCCAACCCCUCCUGGGGUGACCUUCCCACCUCAGCCUCCUGAGUAGCUGUAACUACAGGUGUGUGUCACCAUGCCCAGCUAAUUUAAAAAAAUAUUUUUUUUAGAGAUAAGGGUCUCACUAUGUUGCCCAGGCUGGUCUCGAACUCCUGGGCUUAAGCGAUCCUCCUGCCUCAGCCUCCCAAAGUGUUGGGAUUACAGGCAUGAGCCACGGUACUAGGCCUGGUUUUUUUUUUAAUUGUAGAGUUAAGAGAACAGAGGAAUGUUUCUUCUAACCCUUGCGUAUAUCAGAUGGAAAACUGAAAGACCAAGAGGGUUAUGUGUUUUAAGGAAAGUGGAAGGUAGCAGGUUUCUCUUUGGAAGAGAAGAGUAUUCCUGUGUGUUUACUAGGCAGACACUCUUCUCUGUUAAAAGGAUACAAUAGUCGUUGCUUUUAUUAAGGAGACACACACAGCAUCCCGUUACCUGCCUAUGGGGAUUUUAAGUUGGAGACUUGUUUUCCAGUUUGUGGGUGGUCCUUCUUGUUCUUUGAGAUGAAAAGGGGAGAAGGUGGGUCUCUCUUAGACGGUGCAAAUCUGUUUCCCAGACUUCCACUUCCUGUGGCCUGUGGGCAAUGGCUCCCUUCUCUUUUCUGCAACAUCAGCUGUUAAACAGGAGGUUGCCACGUGGUCCGUCCUACUUCCUGCGCUUUGCCCCUUUGGGAGACCCUGGGAGGAAGUAGUGGGUUCUUCCAGGGGCAUUAGAGGGUCCCUGUCUGGGCCUCUUCUUGGGUUGCAGGACCCUGAUACCAUCCCGGUCAGGCUUCGUGUCUUCCUGCUCUUGGGCAGCCUAUUGGUGGCCUCUCCCCUGGCCUCGUUUCUCCCUCAUCUUGAAGAUUUUGAAAUAACAAGAACAAUAAUAAAGACAAUGGCGUUGCUACCGCUGCUGAGAUCAGCAAGAGCCGGCUGGUUGUCAGGAUCCUUUGGUUGCAAGUGACAGAAAACCCAUCUCAAACCACCUUCAGUAAGAAUGGGAAUUUCUCUCUGUUUCCCUGGGGCGGCUGCCUCCUGGGUGAGGGACCUAGCUCUGCCACAUGGUAGUGGGGGAGGAGUGGUUCCCAGAAGGAAGCCCCCAGGGUGUUGGGACCAGAAGACGGGGACGGAUGCCAGGUGGGAGCAUCUCUUCUCCCCUGUGCUGGUGCCUCGAUCCCAGAUUGGAAGGCUUUGCCUUCCCCCAAGUCUUGGGUCCCAGGGGAGCCCUGCUGGCCCGUGGCCUGCUUGCAGUGGCUCUUGGCCUUUCCACGUCUGACUUCAGAAUCCUUGCUCCUAUCCUGCGUCCUUGGGAGGCCUUCCUUGACUAUUCCAGCUAUACCCGUGGAUGUCAUUAUAACACUGGUGCCCACAUGUGUGAGGAACUGUGCCCACUGUACACUUCCCAAGCACCAUAGCCCCCCAGGAACCUGGUGGGGAAGGUGUUCCUGUGUUGCCUGUUUAUUGUUUCAGUGAGGAAGUGGAGGCUCAGAAAGGUUCCCUGACCUGCCCAAAGUCACGCAACAUCCUUCUCUUCUAUUGAAGACUCAGCUGUGUGCAUUUUAUCUUCUCUGAAUCCAGGCUCUGCCCCUUCUAGGGCUGUCACAUCAGGAAAAGGACUUUGCCUCUGUCUUUAUGGGGAGAGCAUUCCAAGCAUGGGAAACAGCAAGUGCAAAGGCCCUGAGGCAGGAGCCGGUUUCAGGAUCCACAAGGAGGCCAGAAUGGCCAGGGGAAGAGCAAUGGGAGGUCAAGUCAGAGAGAUGGCAGUAGGAGUAGGGAGGCUGGUGGGCAGAUCGCACAGGGCCUUGAGGGCCAUUGUAAGGGCUUUGCUUUCUAUGCUGAGUGAGGUGGUGUCAUCCUUGGAGCGUUUCAGCAGAGGAGGGGCAGAUCUGACUCAGUUUUUGCAGGAUCCCUCUGGCUACUUGUGGGGAGUAGAUGAUAGGAGAUGGGGUGGAGGCUGAGGAGGAGGCCACUACAGCAGCCUGGGCGGGAGAGCCCGUUCUGCAGGUGGCUAGAUGGCAGUCCGCCGCCCCUGCUUUGUGCUCCUGUGCUGCUCACGAGCUGUGUGACGUCGAGUCCUGGCUGCUUUUCUUGGAGCCUCUAUUUUCUCAUCUGCACAGUGGUGUUAAUGAUGUGACCUCACUGAUGGGGCUCUGGGGAUGAACUGCAUGAGCUGAUAAAUGUAAAGUGCUCCCAGAGUGCCUGGCACAGCCUAAGCUCUCAGCAAAUGUUUGUGGAGUGUGCCAGUGAGGGGAUGGCAGGGAAUUUGGGGCCGCUCCAGCUCUGCCCACAGUGCCUGUGCCUGAGGUCAGCCCCAGAGCAAGAAGCACCCCGUUGUUCCCCAACUCUGCCCUCCCCAUCCCCACACACAGAGCUUUGAAUGAACAGGAUCCAGAAUGUUCUGACAACAGUGCCCCCCUCCCCUUUCCUACUGACAAAGCCAUCUUUGUUACGCCUGCCCGGGUGUGAAAUCCAUUUCAGAAAUGAGGAUGGUGCAGGCUCAGGAGUCGGCUUGCAAGGAUGGGGAGGGGCUUGGGAGGAAGGUGUCCCCAUCUUGCUCAGGGCCCCCUAGGUGGACAGCCUGCUCCCUGACAACCCUCUAACCUCAUUUGGGUCCAGAAUGCUCUGGAAUUGGCAGUGCUUUUUGGAACUGUGUGGAGCUGCAUUUCCACUGAAAAACUAUAUCAGUCAACAUCACCUUCCAUCGCUUACCGUCGUCACACGUACACAAGAGGCAUAAUGCCCAGCGCUGGCGUGGCUGCAGGCAAGCGAGCAGUCCCAGAGGACGCUGGUGGGAGUGUUCAUGAUUGCUGCCUUGGGGGAAAAAUACAUUGGCAAUGCCUUUAAAAAUAAAAACCCACGAUACCCUUUGAUUCAGUUCCUUUAGGAACUUCUCCUAUAGAAACAAGAAAAAAAAAGUAGGUAAAGAUGUAAGUUACAAAGAUGUUUAUUCCAGUUUUGUUUCUAAUGGCAAAAGAAAUUGGCAACUCCGUGAGUGGCCAUUAACAGAGAAAAGUCUCACUAGGAUGGUUGUUGAUCCACAUGUUGGGGUAUUGGACAGCUGUUGGAAAGAAUGAGGUUGGUCUCUGUGGACAUGAGGGGCUAUAUGUGCUGUACCUUUAAGAAGGGCUAAGUUGCUGAGUGAAAUGUAGAGCGGGACCCCAAUUUUGUAGAGA